rnacentral:rRNA from 1 species
AUGCUCCCUGUGGCAGCAGACAUUGACCGGGAAUUUCCUUGCCCGACCACCCGGCAUGGCCGGCGAGCGGAACGGCGGGGCGCUGUGGAGAAUCUUGCCGACGGAAGGCGCGUCCGCGCGCAAGCUCCAACCGGACAUCUCGUCACUCCAGGGAAGAAACUCGAUCCGGCGAUUGGAAGGAAGAUCUGCGACGCGACGCGGCCAUGCAGCCAUUUUCUCCCUCCCUAUCAUCAUGCCGCUUCCACCGCCGCCGGACUAGGUGCCGCUCUCGGAGGAGGGGCGGAUGGUGGACGAGGAACAAGUGGAGGAGAAGGGUGUCCUCAUCGCCGAGGAGGAGGAGAAGGAGGACAGCCGUUAUGUGCUGGAGGCCGUGCAGGAAGAUCCUGCCCCUAA